rnacentral:ncRNA from 1 species
GUGUUGCCACAGUACACUAGAAACUGCAGGUUCAGACAUUUGGUGUAUGUGCUUGGCUGAGUAGCCAAUGGGGCAAACCUACCCUCUCUGUGAGAUUAUUAUUGAAGCCUCUAAGUCAGAAUCCC